rnacentral:rRNA from 1 species
ACGCUCGACACCUCGGAGGCAGCAGUGGGGAAUAUUGCACAAUGGGGGAAACCCUGAUGCAGCGACGCCGCGUGAGUGAAGAAGUAUUUCGGUAUGUAAAGCUCUAUCAGCAGGGAAGAAAAUGACGGUACCUGACUAAGAAGCCCCGGCUAACUACGUGCCAGCAGCCGCGGUAAUCUGAGCGGCUGGCAAGGC